CCGUUUCGUCAGCCUCUAGCAGGGACAUAUUCCUUCCCUUAUUUCUUUUUGUUCAGUCUCUUUGAAUCCUGCCUUCUCGAUACAUUAAAUUGCUAAUGUUCUUCUUUAUUUGCUUUGAUGCUUCUUAAAUGUUUGCUGAAAUGUUUAGCUAGCAUAUCCAACAUUUUCCUAUUUGGUUUAGGUUAUUACUGAUGUAUAAACCAUUCUAUUCUAAUUUAGUUUACUCUUCCAUUCUAGAUCUCAUUUUGGGACAGGUGCACUACCUCUUCCUGAUCGUGGAUACGCAAGCCUCAGACGAUCCUUAGACAUGAGCUCAAUGACAAAGCUUGCAGACAUUACUUCAGGGCAGCAAAACUGCAAGGUCUUAGCCCGCAUUACAAGACUAUGGGAUUCUAAAAAUAUGAACUCUAGAGCUGCGGAUCCCCUCAUUAGCAUUGAUGGUGUCAUCCUUGACGAAGAUGGAAAAAUGGCUCACAUUAGUGUCCCCAAAAAACUUGAAAAACAGUUUCGACCUUCACUCACUCAAGGAUCUGUCUAUAUGUUUACAAACCUCAUUGCUGUUGAUACAAAACAAAAGGCAUAUAUAUAUCACCAUCAGGAC